UUUAAAAAAUAAAAUUUUUUGACGUUUUUUUUAAUUUUCUACGAGUUUGAAAUUUUAAGUUAUAUGGCUUUUGUUGCAGUAUAACCAAUAUUUCUAGGUGUAUGUUGGUAUUUUGUGGUCAAUACCUAGAACGCAGUUGUGACAGUGUGAGUCAAUUUACACGAUGACUUUUCACCCUAGGUGUUAGGCAUGCACACACGUGCACUUUGGGCUCGCGCCCAACGAACGAGUGACCAAAGCUAAUUGUCGUUUAAACAUCAAAAACAUGCAAGGAAAACCGAAAACAAAAAGUCCUCGUGUCAAGAAUAAAUGAAGAUGACGAUUGUCUUUCAACGUUUGCCGGCAUUCUUUGCCUGCAGAACUUUGCGUACCAUCAGAGGGCGUCCCCUUGCGAUAUUGAGUACGGUGCUUUGACAAGUCUGUAGCUGCAUUCACUGACUGCCAAAUUGACGCUGUUUAUCUGAAAACUGAUCUUGUAUGUUGUAUUUGUAGAAAACUAGAAUAAUCUGCCGAAUAAUUGGAACUUUGAACUUUUUGUAAAACACACAAGUCAUCAAUGUCAUUAUUACACACUAUCAAA